rnacentral:rRNA from 1 species
ACUCCUACGGGAGGCAGCAGUGGGAAUAUUGCACAAUGGGCGAAAGCCUGAUGCAGCAAUGCCGCGUGUGUGAAGAAGGCCUGCGGGUUGUAAAGCACUUUUAUCGGGAAAGAAAAACCAGGGCUAAUACCCUUGGUCUUGACGGUACCCGUUGAAUAAGCACCGGCUAACUCCGUGCCAGCAGCCGCGGUAAUACGGAGGGUGCAAGCGUUAAUCGGAAUUACUGGGCGUAAAGCGCAUGCAGGUGGUUUGUUAAGUCAGAUGUGAAAGCCCGGGGCUCAACCUCGGAACUGCAUUUGAAACUGGCAGACUAGAGUACUGUAGAGGGGGUAGAAUUUCAGGUGUAGCGGUGAAAUGCGUAGAGAUCUGAAGGAAUACCGGUGGCGAAGGCGGCCCCUGGACCAGAUACUGACACUCAGAUGCGAAAGCG